CUCAAAGGAAUUGACGGGGACCCGCACAAGCGGUGGAUGAUGUGGAUUAAUUCGAUGCAACGCGAAAAACCUUACCUACCCUUGACAUGUACGGAAUCCCAGAGAGAUUUGGGAGUGCUCGAAAGAGAACCGUAACACAGGUGCUGCAUGGCUGUCGUCAGCUCGUGUCGUGAGAUGUUGGGUUAAGUCCCGCAACGAGCGCAACCCUUGUCAUUAGUUGCUACGAAAGGGCACUCUAAUGAGACUGCCGGUGACAAACCGGAGGAAGGUGGGGAUGACGUCAAGUCCUCAUGGCCCUUAUGGGUAGGGCUUCACACGUCAUACAAUGGUACAUACAGAGGGCCGCCAACCCGCGAGGGGGAGCUAAUCCCAGAAAGUGUAUCGUAGUCCGGAUUGCAGUCUGCAACUCGACUACAUGAAGUUGGAAUCGCUAGUAAUCGCGGAUCAGCAUGUCGCGGUGAAUACGUUCCCGGGUCUUGUACACACCGCCCGUCACACCAUGGGAGCGGGUUUCACCAGAAGUAGGUAGCCUAACCGUAAGGAGGGCGCUUACCACGGUGGGAUUCGUGACUGGGGUGAAGUCGUAACAAGG
rnacentral:rRNA from 1 species